rnacentral:rRNA from 1 species
UACGUAGGGUGCAAGCGUUUAAUCGGAAUACUGGGCGUAAAGCGUGCGCAGGCGGUGAUGUAAGACAGAUGUGAAAUCCCCGGGCUCAACCUGGGAACUGGCAUUUGUGACUGCAUCGCUGGAGUACGGCAGAGGGGGAUGGAAUUCCGCGUGUAGCAGUGAAAUGCGUAGAUAUGCGGAGGAACACCGAUGGCGAAGGCAAUCCCCUGGGCCUGUACUGACGCUCAUGCACGAAAGCGUGGGGAGCAAACAGG